UGCCCAAUGAUAUCGGUAAAGGUGAAUUAUACUGAAAACGCCUACCGGAAUCCCAAUGUUUCGAGCUGAAAUGGUCCGAUAGUUCUUGAAAUAAACCGGUGAAGUUGCAGUUCAGAAGAGUUUGAAGCGGGCAUGCACAUGCGGAUGAUUGGCUUGUUGUGUACAUACUUCUAUUGUCAUGGGGAUUUGUGUUUGUAUAAUCUAACGGAUUCUUGUACGUAUAGUUAUCGGUUCGCAUAGGUGGCGUGUUCUCGUUCUUGUACGCAAAUGGGUUUCAUCAUGUCGAACGAGAGUACCACGAUUAGCUCUAGCAGCCACCUCUCUUAACGGAU
rnacentral:lncRNA from 1 species